rnacentral:rRNA from 1 species
UAGGGAAUAUUGGUUAAUGGGCGAAAGCCUGACCCAGCAACGCCGCGUGCGCGAUGAAGGCCUUCGGGUUGUAAAGCGCUUUUAAGUGGGGUGAGGAAGGACAGUACCACUAGAAUAAGUCUCGGCUAACUACGUGCCAGCAGCCGCGGUAACACGUAGGAGACGAGCGUUAUCCGGAUUUACUGGGUGUAAAGCGCGUGCAGGCGGUAUGGAAAGUUGGAUGUGAAAGCUCCCGGCUUAACUGGGAGAGGUCGUUCAAAACUACCAAACUAGAGUACAGCAGAGGGGAGUGGAAUUCCGAGUGUAGCGGUAAAAUGCAUAGAUAUUCGGAAGAACACCAGUGGCGAAGGCGGCUCCCUGGGCUGAAACUGACGCUCAGACGCGAAAGCUAGGGUAGCGAACG